rnacentral:rRNA from 1 species
UACGGAGGAUGCGAGCGUUAUCCGGAUUUAUUGGGUUUAAAGGGUGCGCAGGCGGCGUGUCAAGUCAGCGGUAAAAUGUCGGGGCUCAACCCCGGCCGGCCGUUGAAACUGGCGUGCUCGAGUUGGAGAGAAGUAUGCGGAAUUCGUGGUGUAGCGGUGAAACGCGUAGAUAUCACGAAGAACCCCGAUUGCGAAGGCAGCAUACCGGCUCCACACUGACGCUGAGGCACGAAAGCGUGGGUAUCGAACAGG